ACGGUGGAGGAGGGCGGCCAUCAGAAUGUCAAAUCCAGGUCGUAAACACCUUUUUCAGGGUUUGUUGUAAUUUGAAUGGUUGCUAAGCAACCGUUGAGGCCUACCUAUAAAAAUGCUUGCAUGGUGUGCUGCAGUUGUAUUGCUCCGAAUUCUGAGGUUGCUGAAUACAAAAGAUAUACGCACCACGUGAGCAGGCCCAAAGGACUGUGUGGGGCUCCAAGAUACCAAAGGACUGAUGCUCCUUUACAUCAGAGGGAGCCGUUCGGUUAACAGGCCCAAAGGUUUUUUCCCUCCUUCCUGUCUCAAGCCCUGCACAGGCUUCAUUGCAUUUUAGGAGAGAAAACAAUCUCAAUAACCAGGAAAAUGUACUUUUCCUCUCGUUUAUACUGCUUGCGACCUGAGAAUGACUUCUUCUUCCUAAGCAUUUUAAGAGAAGCUUUGGGUGAAAUAUUUGGGAUUAAGCUGCUUUUGGAGAGUCCGAAGGAGUCCCAGCCAGCACCACAAAUUUAGAGUUGGCAUCAAAGAUAGUUGGAUGGCUUCAGUCUCCCUGGUCUAUUCCAUAUUUGAAAUACUUGCAGCAAACCGCUUCUGUCGGAAAACCCAACUUGAAUGUCUCACAAUGACAUGGGAAACCAAAUUCAGGAAAGCUGGAAUGAGCUCAUCUGACCUCAGUGAAGAGCCACAGCUGAGUUCCCACCAACUUUUCUUCCUCUUUUCCUGGCAGAGAUAAACUUACCAUGCUGUAUUUAAAGAGAAAGGUGAACGGAAGGAUUAAGGUGUUUAUAAACCACAUUAAUCUUGUUUCAACCGUUAUUUCUUUCCAUCGUUUAAAGAAAGCAAGUUUAAGUCAGUUGCAUCUUUUUUUUAUCUGUCUUCCAUUGUUCAUUUGCAGUUUACCUCAUUCUCCGUUAAGGACGCGGAAGGAGAUGAACUUUUGCUAUAAGGGAGAUGCGAAGAUUCUGGUCCCGAGGCCCGAUUUCGUUUCUUCAGUGGCUUACAGGCAUCGGAAAGACCUGUCGUUGUGGCAAAAUAAUUGUGAUUUACAAAGAGAGCUUAAGAGUCCCAGGGUCUUUCCUUGAAGUCAGAAGCCAACAUCGCCUGACUGAUGUAUCGAGAAUUUACAAUGUUCUUUUGAGAUCCCCCCCAGUGUAGAAUGAGAAAUAUAGAGAAGCAAAUAUAGACACAAUUAAGAAUAGUUAAGAAAUAAUAAUGUAGCUUGUUUGCAAUCUAGCAUUCAAUGGGUAUCCCCACCUUCUCCUAAAGAUGUGACAUGGAUGGAUUUGGUCAAUAAUCUGUUAUUGAUGUAGUAGAUUUGCAAAUAAUUUUUACAAAUUAAAUACUCACAAGGACUAA